GCGCCUUUCACCCGGUCAAAUUUGAAAAUCCGUCUGUUAGAGCAGGUGAGAUGCUACCACUUCAGUCACUGGGUUACCUGGAUUAUUUUACAUCUGCUUGUCAGAUUCUGAUGUUGAGCGAAUUUGAGUUGUGGGAUGUCAACAGAGAACCAAAAACUGGAAUAUGGACAGAGAAGAAGGUCAGACGGGAUCUGUUUGGCAAUAUCAGGUCUGUCUUUGGUGAUGCGGAGAAGGACAUGUGAGUGAACAAUGGGGGUUUACACAAUUUGAAGAGAUAGCAAUGAGGAUGAUACUGAGCUAUGGGACAUAUGGCCAUUGUGAUAGAGGUCAACAAUCUUGGAAAUGAACUCAUCAUGUGGAUAGAAACCCUCCCAGUCAAUAAGAUAUUGAAGGGAACCUCCCCUUCUUCUUGAGUCCAGCACCUGAAGGACAGCAUACACAGGGCCACCCUCGGCCUCCAG